rnacentral:tRNA from 1 species
GGACUGUGGCUCAGCGGUAGAGCGCUCGCCUAGCACGGGCCAGACCUGGGUUCCAUCCUCAGCACCA